AGCGAACACAGGAUUUGUUUGGAUGGUCAUUGUGUUUGUUGCCAUCUUGUGAGAUAUCUUCAAGAUAUACGUUAUGUGAGACUUCUCUUCGGUCUUUCAAGCAAAUCCUUGAGGAUGGUGUCAUUCAAGUUAGAAUGUGUACUCAUAAUUGUCUGACUACUCUCUAAACCUUGUGUCUUCGCCAUGAAGAUGAUGUCCUCGCAUUCUUCUUCGCUGAGGAAAUUUUCGAUUUCUGAUGAUUGAAAAUUUGAAACUGUUGCAUUGGAUUCUUGGUCAUUAGAUUGUGCUAAAUCGAUCCAGUUCCAUAUAUCUUGUUCCCUAUUGUUACUAACUCCAAUCCAAUUGUUGGCUAUCCACUUCCGGCCUUUUAUGACGUCACAUCCGCC